GGCGGGUCUCCCCGCAUUGCACUUUGGUGAACCUGGUCAGGUCCGGAAGGAAGCAGCCACAGCCAAGCGAUGCAAGUGCCGGGGGUAAGGCUCGCCUCC
rnacentral:SRP_RNA from 2 species